rnacentral:tRNA from 1 species
AACGAUUUUGAAAAGGCCGAUUUCAGCCGUGUUUUUGACAUGGCAGCCUCCGCACAGUUCGAGGCUGUAGUCGCCG